GCCUCUACGAGCAAGGCAGUGAGCUGGUCGACGUGACGGGCAGAUUAUGCGUCGUGUUCAGCGCAGCUGUGAACCUGCAAUCUCUAACAUUAAUCCAUCGGGAUCUGCGUCAUCGCUGACGAGAUAGGCCUAUCUGCAGUCGAUGGUACAGCUUCCAUCAAGGUCUUCGUGGUUGUCUUCAACGAUGCCAACGGGAUCUACGCUGCCGUCGUCGUCGCUGCCGUCAGGGUUCCCGUAGAUGAUGGCACAACUUCAUUGAGUUCACCGUUAAAGAUGGUAAAGAUGCCAUCGAGAUCAUAAGAACAGAGACCCCGGUGAUGUCAGCAUCAGCGUCUCAGGCGAGGAGAAAUCUUGCAGACAUAUCGGCACCAGCAGGACGUCAGCAAGACUGGGCAUGGGUGACCAGACACUUCGUGGACCUGCAUUCCAUGGGGGGCUAGUGACCUGCCUGUGUCGAGCCAGCGACUGCCGGACUGCAUUGGCGCAUUGACCACUGCACCGCACUCUUUCCCAUUUUAAAUGAGUCAGUCGACGUAAAAGUGACAUAUUUAUAACACAGAGUGUUCAUAACAGAAUGUCCCAGUUUCAAUGGUAAUAUUAUCACAGUUUAAUUUGGACUGUUUACAACAUAUCACACAUCAAAUUGAAGGUAAUCUUACCUAGUUUUUUUUAACACAUGUUCAAUUUGUGCACCUUUAGUUAUACGGCACACAUCCAACCUAAAGUCCCAUUCUUCCCACACUUUGGUUAACACGCCCGGAGUAACGGAAGCAAUGGUCUCAUCAAUUCUGUGCCUCUACUUUGGAAAAUCGGCGGAACUUGGGAACACUCUUUUAUAAAGCCCUAAAGAAAAGAAAAUCUCAUGGCGUUAUGUCAGGUGAACGUGGAGGCCAGUGAUAAAGAGCUCUGUCGUCUCGACCAUUACGACCAAUCCAACGGUCAGGGACUUCGACAUUCAACCACUCUUGUACAAAGAGAUUCCAAUGGGGAGGGGCUCCAUACCGUUGACAAAUAAUUUUUUACAGGUUCACCAUAGACAAUUGGCGAUAGAGCCAUUUUUUCGCGCUUCAAGCAAGAAACAACAAAGCCGUAUUUUCGCAUGCGCUUAUCUAAAUCUGUUUCAGUUACUCUUUAAUUGUGACCUUGAACCAACACACUAUAACGCUUACAGUUGAAACUAUUAAAUUUUAUAACUGGGACAUUUUUAUGGACAUACUGUGUUAUGUAUUUUAAAGUAGAAUGUUGGUUUCCUUUUGGUUUCCUUUUGCUAUUAUUUGUACUGCGUGUGGUUUAAUGUCGGGAAAAGUAUAGGGUAAAGUGUCCGAAUAUCGGAUACUUUUUCAAAAUUAAUUUUUUCAUAAUGAAAGAAAUGAUAUUAAGAAUCACAAUUUACUCCGUUAUUAUCUUUGUUAAACAUAGUUUACACUGACAUGUAUUUUAGAGUACGCAAAUAGUUCACGGAAAUAUUAAAAUAAUAAAAAGCAAAACAAAAACAUUUAUCAGUUCUGAAAAAAAGUAGCCUAAUAUCGGAUACAAGGUGUUCCUAAUAUCGGAUAGUAGGUGUUUUUAAAAUUAAAUUAUGAAAUAAGACAUAAUUAUUCCCGGCAGUUGAACAAGUACAAUACAUAACCGUUAGACUUAAAGAAAAAGAACUAAAAAUAUAUCAAGCAUUGAUUGCAAGGAACCUGAGUUGUGUGGAACAUAUUAAACGUCUAACUGUCUGAAACCAACAAAUUAACUAAAUCACGUACCACAGUUUUCACAAACAAAUGUUUUCCAGCUGUGUUUACCAAUUACAGCAAAUGUUUCGUGUACCCAUCCUAGCCAGCGAAUGCACCGAAUCCAGUCGCUUCCAGAAUGAUCUUCGCGAUAUGGCACACCACUAUAGAGGCACUCUUCAUCUUGUUAUGUCAAGUUCUCUCCUAAGGAAAGCCUUAUUGUCUUCUCUCUCUAAUGGGGCUUGAAGGGAAUAAGGGGUUAUAAAAUAAGGUCUCGACAUUAACUUCAGUUCCACUUCAAUUUACUACUAACUAUUACAAUUGUCAACGCCGUCACCCGUUGAGUUAAAUCUAUAACAUAUACUUAAGUCAAUCUACGUGCCUCGCUGUCACACCUGUGAGUGUCCUACCUCCGCUCUCUUGUCUCGCGCUCGCGGCAGACCUCUCAGAGAGGCGGGAAGCGGCAGCGAGAGUCACGUGGCUUAGUCUCGGCACGGCCACAACCACCGGGCGUGGAUGCCGUUGUUGAGACCUCGACAGUCCUCGUUCCUACCCCCUCUCGACCCCGGUGGCCAGCCUCGUUCCGAAACGCUGUCCCAGUAUUUCGCGCUGACUCCGCUGAUGCCGCAACGAGGCCGGCCCGCACGUCGCUGCAGAUGUGUCGUAACAAUCUGCACUGUCGCUGCCAUCCGUUGAAACAAGAGGUGGUUCGUCCUCCAAAUCUGAAUAUUCCGAAUCUGUGAAAUUUGCCUUUAAAGUUCCUUUCUUUCCACAUGCCUUAGGCAAGGUUGUCUUCCUAGAAAUGGACGUUGUUGCUCCCUUCAAUAUUUUUUUUCUUACAAUUUCUUUCUUGGAACUCAUUCUGCUUACGUUUCCUUAACUCUGCAUUUUGUAAAGAGGCUGUAUGCUGUGCCUUGUAUGGAGAUGAAGUGAUGACGGCUGUUUGACCAGACCUUCGACUCUUUUUAGAAGGCCCUGGUAGGACAUGGGCGUAAAUGGAAUGGGCUGAUUGUAACUGCACCAUUUAUCUUCUUCUGAGCCUCACAUGGUUUUGGAAUAUCAGUGAUUUCAUCCAUGGAUGUAUCAUGGCUUGUUCCUUCUUGGUCCUGUCUUCAGAUACAUCAUCAAAUUGGAAAGAGGAAUUUCCGGUCAUGGUUACAUCAUUUUCAUGUUCCAAACGUUGACCUGUUUUGUGUUUCUGAUUUUCUUCAGGAAGGAAAUCUUGUUCUCCAAAGACUAGUGGAUCAAAUGAUGAUAUACCACACUUUCUUAACCCGUUUACAGCCGAUUCCAUGGUAGCUUCUCUCAUGUAGGCGCGUCCCAUUAAACUUCCAACUUGGUAAACAGAAACAGCUCUGAAAGGAUGGGCAUCCAGCUAAUUUUCAAUUUCAGCAGAAUAAAACUGUUAAAUGGAGCCAUGAAAUCUACAUCUAAAGGUUGUAGCUUGUGUGUCGAGUGUGGUGGAAGGCAAAUUAUUUUCACCCCAUUCUGCUGUGCUAGUUCUAUAACAUCUAAAUUUCUUGUAUGUACAAAUUAGGCCGUCAAAGUUAUUUAAAUAAUACAACACAUAUGUUUAUAGGCAUCAUACAACUUUGGUUCAUACAUUUUUCCGCGUCAAAACCAAACUUGUGUAUGCAUAAACAACACUUACACAUUAAACUACAACACUUGUAGGUUCAUCUAAUGUAUAUAUGUGGUUUUUAACUACUCACAUUUUACCCGCAAUCUGCCGUUCAAAACUCUCCUUGAAAAUUUCGAAAAUUCAUAAAAUACACAAACGAUAAUGGCGUCUGACACGCUGGUGACAACGGCCGCGAGUGCAAAGGGUACUUAAAGGCAACUGUUUAAUACCACUACCGUUAGCGUGCAGCAUCUGUGUGUUCAAAUAUCCUGGUAUCCGAUAUUCGGUCACUUUACCCUAUUUAAAAUAAUGAAAUUUUGUAAGUCACUUUGAAGCCUGCUGUUAUCAUACCUUAUAUUGCAUUUUUAUGUGGUUUAAUUAUUUACAUCUGUCAUUUCCUUUGUCAUAAACUGUAAUAUGGACACUUAAAAACAGUUCGGGUUCUUUGAAAACCUAAAAAGUAAAAAUAAUGACGAUACAAAUUUCGUUAAGUAUGGCACGACAGCACAAUUGUUAAACAGUACAAUAAAUUAUUCUCUAUAGUAUACU